UCAUUUUUUAUGUCUUUUUGAAAAGAAGACAAAGAAAAAAAGAAAAAGACAUCGAAAACCCAAAAAACCCAUAGACGCCACUUGCUUUUCACACUGUGUCUCUUUCUUCCCUUUUGCUGUCCCCUCUCUAAGUGAACAAAAAAAAAAAAAAACCAAACUCCACAGUUUCCUCAGGCACAAAAUAAAACAAGAAAAGAAAAGAGAAGACUGAAAAAACCUCCAUGGAUCUUUGUGAUACAACCAACGUUUUGUUCAGUAAAAUCAAAAGUUUAGAACCAGAAAAUGCUUCAAAAAUCAUGGGUUACAUCCUUAUCCAAGACUUAGCAGACAGGGAUUUGUUGCGUUUAGCCCUUGGUCCUGAAACCCUUUUACAGUCCCUUGUUUUCAAGGCUAAAGCUCACUUAGGACUGUCUUCAUGCACUUUCUCUACUCCUUUGAACCCAAUCUCAAGACCCAACAGCUCCAACUCCAACUCAAACAAUUCACAAAACCCACUUCCUCCAUCAUCUCCUAACCCCAUUCCAAGAAAUGGCUUCUUGGAAUUUUCAAAGAGGGUGCCUUCUUGGUCUCCUGCUAUUAGCCCAAAGUCAAGUCCUUUUCUUUCCUAUGAAAAUAUCCGCACUGGGUCUGUCUUAGUUCCUCCAAGGACUGGGGAUGAUUUUAUUGAUGAGAAUCAAAUGAGUGAUUAUUUUUCAUUCUUGAAUGAUUCUUCCUCUUCUAAGAAUGAGGACUUUGCUGGUCAUAGAAGGAGUUUUUCAGCAAGUGAUGCAUGUUUUGGGACAGCUGAAGAAGCAGGUGGAUUUGGUGGUCUUGUGGGUGGUUACAAGCCUUGUCUUUAUUUUGCUAGAGGGUUUUGUAAGAAUGGUGAUAAUUGUAAGUUUUCACACGGUGUUGGUGGUGUAGCUGAUAAUGUUGAUGUUAAUACUGUUAUUGUUGGUUCUCCUAGUAAAAUGGACCCCUAUCAUCAACACGAGGAAAUGAUGAGAAUGAGAGCAGCUGCUCAUCAGCAAAGAUUGGCUGCUGCUCAUUUGAUGGCUGGUGUUUCUUCUCCCCUGCCUUACGAAAAAAGCAUGAAUAUCCUCUUGCAACAGCAAACUGAUGCCCAGAGAGCUGCUGCAUUGAUGUUGAGUGAAGAAAUUUGCAAGUUUGCCCAGGGCCGAUCUGAGAGGAAUGAUUUGUUGUCCAUGGGAUUGGCAGAAAAGGCUAAUUCAGCUUCAAAACAGAUUUACCUGACUUUUCCAGCUGAUAGUACAUUUAAAGAUGAAGAUGUUUCAAACUACUUCAGCAUGUUUGGACCAGUGCAAGAUGUGAGGAUCCCGUACCAGCAGAAGCGAAUGUUUGGUUUUGUUACUUUUGUCCAUCCGGAGACUGUGAAGCUCAUUUUGUCCAGAGGAAACCCCCAUUACAUUUGUGAUUCACGUGUGCUUGUUAAGCCCUACAAGGAAAAAGGAAAAGUUCCUGACAAGAGGCAACAACUGCAACAACAAUUUGAGAGGGGGAACUUUUCUCCGUGUUCAAGCCCUUCAGGGCUUGACUCUAGAGAGCCAUAUGACCUUCAUUUUGGGGCAAAGAUGUUCUACAAUGCACAGGAGAUGAUGUUAAGAACAGAAUUGGAAGAGCAAGCUGAUCUCCAGCAAGCUAUUGAACUGCAAAGGAGAAGGUUCAUGAACUUGCAACUUCCAGACUUCAAGAAUGCCGGUAUUCAUCAUCACCACCGCAGCCUAUCUGUUGGUGCUUCUGUUUCCUUGCCUGCUUAUUCCCAUACCAGCCUACAUGGUCAUCCAUCUAACAGCAUUAAACAAGAAGUCUCAGAAGCUGCAGCUGUUUCCUUAACCAUGAAUGCUGCCGAGCAAGAAGAAGUGAAUUCAGCUUGUGUUCAGAAAGGCGGAAUUGGAAAUAUCCAAGAGUGUUCCAAUCCCAAAGGUGUAGAGCAUGCACUUCCUGAUAGCCCUUUUGCUUCCCCGAAAAAAUCUACUGAAAACCACCUCUCGGAGUUUCCUGCUUUGAUGGGAGUAAAUGGAAGUCCUGCUUUAUGUGCUACUUCAUCUUCUGAAAAUGAUCCAUUACUGCCCAUAACUUCUACUAGCGACAUGGCUUCCAUUUAAGCUAUCCUCUUCUUAAUACCAAGGUUUUAAAUGAACUGUAGGAACUAAAGAAAAGUAGAGAAGCAUAUACAAGAAGAAUCCCCCAUAUGUGUAUAGCCAGCUUUAUAAGUGAGGAGUAGAUCUGUAGAGAAUAUCUCAACAUGAUCAUCACCAUCAUCUUCUUCUUCAAUACAAUACCACUAACAGCAAAUGCAUAUUGGAUACAUAAAUGACAGAUAAACUGAUUUUUGAGCGUAGGGCUUUUCUCUUUUCUCCUUUCGCGGUAGGUGUGUAUUCCAACAGACAAAAGCAGCAGAAACCCAGGAUAGUUCAUUAUCAUGUUGUCAAUCUGUGCAUCUUCUUUUACCCUAUGUGAUAAUAACAUUAUGUAAAGCUGAAUUAUAUGAAUGCACUGAAGUAAGAAAUGUGUACAUUUAUUUAGUAUUAGUUUUGGACCUUCAAAAGGGAAAUGCAUUGAAGGCUGGAAUUGAGGGGGAAAAGAUCAGAUCGUUAGAAGAUGGGUGUGGUAAUUGGUAUAUUAUUUUAUGUUUAACUUUAUUAGCAGUUAUAUUAAAGUGAAGAAUGCUGGGUAUUGGAAAGUUGGUAGCAAAGCAUUUCUCUUUUAGCUGUGCAGUAUCUGUUACAUGGGCACUUUGUCUCCAUAUUUUUAGGUCCACAUGAAGAUUGGUGGGUUAGAGGUCACUCUUAUUCUUAUCACAUGGGGGCUUGACAUUAUAAAAAAAGGAAUCAGGGUGUCACGGUCACAGCUCCUUUCCUUCUCAUGUUUCUGGUCAUGUAAAUGUUUUAUUUUUUGAAUCUUUGCUUUAUUUGCCGGAGCCAAAGAUUUUCCAAGUUCUGAGUCUUUG